rnacentral:rRNA from 1 species
CCUACGGGUGGCUGCAGUGAGGAAUAUUGGUCAAUGGACGCAAGUCUGAACCAGCCAUGCCGCGUGCGGGAAGACGGCUCUAUGAGUUGUAAACUGCUUUUGUACGAGGGUAAACGCAGAUACGCGUAUCUGUCUGAAAGUAUCUUACGAAUAAGGAUCGGCUAACUCCGUGCCAGCAGCCGCGGUAAUACGGAGGAUUCAAGCGUUAUCCGGAUUUAUUGGGUUUAAAGGGUGCGUAGGCGGUCGGUUAAGUUAGAGGUGAAAUCCCGAGGCUCAACGCCGUACAGCCGUUGAAACUGGCAGUCUUGAGUGGGCGAGAAGUAUGCGGAAUGCGUGGUGUAGCGGUGAAAUGCAUAGAUAUCACGCAGAACCCCGAUUGCGAAGGCAGCAUACCGGCGCCCGACUGACGCUGAGGCACGAAAGCGUGGGUAUCGAACAGGAUUAGAUACCCUUGUAGUC